UCGCAAAGAACUAAAACUACUUUCAUAAGUAUAGAGAUUAGAAACAUAUUAAAUUUUGAAAAAGGGAUGAUAUAGUUUACCUUUUCUUUUAGCCGUGUCAUCCCUUUCACUGGUGGUUAUCACUUUAUUUCUUUUUUAGCAAGUCGUGACUCAUGCGAGGCAAAACCAUUCUUGGAAUACAUGAAGAAUCUUAGCUCCAACCAUUCCAAUACAAAAUGCAAAUACAAUUGUACCCUGUCUCUGGUCCCUUUCCU
rnacentral:lncRNA from 1 species